AUUGAACGCUGGCGGCAUGCUUUACACAUGCAAGUCGAACGGUAACAGGCCUUCGGGUGCUGACGAGUGGCUAACGGGUGAGUAAUGCAUCGGAACGUACCCAGAGGUGGGGGAUAACGCAGCGAAAGCUGUGCUAAUACCGCAUGUGAUCUGAGGAUCAAAGCGGGGGACCGAGCAGCAAUGUUUGGCCUCGCGCCUUUGGAGCGGCCGAUGUCGGAUUAGCUAGUUGGUGGGGUAAAGGCCUACCCAGGCGACGAUCCGUAGCUGGUCUGAGAGGACGACCGGCCACACGGGGGCGGAGACAGGGCCAAGACGACUGCGGGAGGCAGCAGUGGGGAAUGGUGGACAAUGGGGGCAAGUCUGAUCCAGCAAGGCCGCGUGCGGGAAGAAGGCCUUCGGGUUGGAAACCGCUUUUGGCAGGAACGAAACGGUGUCCGCUAAUACCGGGCGCUAAUGACGGUAACUGCAGAAUAAGCACCGGCUAACUACGUG
rnacentral:rRNA from 1 species